UCCCAUACCGAACACGGAAGUUAAGCUCUUCAGCGUCGAUGGUAGUUGGGGGUUUCCCCCUGUGAGAGUAGAACGUCGCUAGGC
rnacentral:rRNA from 1 species